rnacentral:rRNA from 1 species
CAGUAGCCACGGUAAUACGUAGGUGGCAAGCGUUGUCCGGAAUUAUUGGGCGUAAGGGCUCGCAGGCGGUUUCUUAAGUCUGAUGUGAAAGCCCCCGGCUCAACCGGGGAGGGUCAUUGGAAACUGGGAAACUUGAGUGCAGAAGAGGAGAGUGGAAUUCCACGUGUAGCGGUGAAAUGCGUAGAGAUGUGGAGGAACACCAGUGGCGAAGGCGACUCUCUGGUCUGUAACUGACGCUGAGGAGCGAAAGCGUGGGGAGCGAACAGGAUUAGAUACCCCCGUAGUCCCUGUCUCUUAUACC